rnacentral:lncRNA from 10 species
GUUUUGGGGCUAUGAUGAAUAAUGCUGCUAUAAGCAUGUAUAUGCAAGUUUUCAUGUGGACAUAGAUCUUCCAUUCCCUUGGUAUAUACCUAGGAUGAAUUUUCAUCCUUUCUUGCAUUGAAGUAUUUUGCCAUAUUUAUGUAAUCAUUCUUCUACUAUACUUAACCAUUCUUUCAUUAUUGGACAUUUAUUGGACAUUCUCUCAUUAUUGGUCAUAAUUUUCUUAUCAGAAAUGAGGGAGCUGGACCAGUUCAACUCUAAGUUCUCUCCCAGUUUUAAAGCCUGGACUCAGGGAGCCUCCCAAGCUCCACUGUUUAGCCCGUGGCCCCCAGCUCAUCAAAUUGUAAAGACCAUCGAUGCUAGGAAGAAACUGCAUCAACUAAUGAGCAAAAUAACCAGCUAACCUCAUAAUGGCAGGAUCAAAUUCACACAUAACAAUAUUAACCUUAAAAGUAAGUGGGUUAAAUGCCCCAAUUAAAAGACACAGACUGGCAAAUUGGAUAAAGAGUCAAGAACCAUCAGUGUGCUGUAUUCAGGAGACCCAUCUCACGUGCAGAGACACACAUAGACUCAAAAUAAAGGGAUGGAGGAAGAUCUACCAAGCAAAUGGAAAACAAAACAAGCAGAGGUUGCAACCCUAGUCUCUGAUAAAACAGACUUUAAACCAACAAAUAUCAAAAGAGACAAAGAAGGCCAUUACAUAAUGGUAAAGGGAUCAAUUCAACAAGAAGAGCUAACUAUCCUAAAUAUAUAUGCACCCAAUACAGGAGCACCCAGAUUCAUAAAGCAAGUACUUAGAGACCUAUAAAGAGACUUAGACUC